AACCUGGUUGAUCCUGCCAGUAGUCAUAUGCUUGUCUCAAAGAUCAAGCCAUGCAUGUCUAAGUAUAAGCAAUUAAUACUGCGAAACUGCGAAUGGCUCAUUAAAUCAGUUAUAGUUUAUUUGAUGGUACCUGCUACUCGGAUAACCGUAGUAAUUCUAGAGCUAAAUACGUGCGUAAAGCCCGACUUCUGGGAGGGCCGUAUAUAUUAGAUAAAAGACCGACCAGCUUCGGCUGUCUGCGGUGAAUCAUGAUAUCUUAUCGAAUCCGCAUGGCCUUUGCGCCGGCGAUGUUUCCAUUCCAAUUUCUGCCCUAUCAACUUUCGAUGGUAAGGAUAGAGGCCUACCAUGGUGGUACCGGGUGACGGAGAAUUAGGGUUCGA
rnacentral:rRNA from 1 species